rnacentral:rRNA from 1 species
UACGUAGGGUGCGAGCGUUGUCCGGAAUUAUUGGGCGUAAAGAGCUUGUAGGCGGUUUGUCGCGUCUGCCGUGAAAAUUCGAGGCUCAACCUCGAACUUGCGGUGGGUACGGGCAGACUAGAGUGUGGUAGGGGAGACUGGAAUUCCUGGUGUAGCGGUGAAAUGCGCAGAUAUCAGGAGGAACACCGAUGGCGAAGGCAGGUCUCUGGGCCACUACUGACGCUGAGAGACGAAAGCUAGGGUAGCAAACGGG